rnacentral:rRNA from 1 species
GACGAACGCUGGCGGCGUGCCUAAUACAUGCAAGUCGAACGCAUUUUCUUUCACCGUAGCUUGCUACACCGACAGAAAAUGAGUGGCGAACGGGUGAGUAACACGUGGGUAACCUGCCCAUCAGCGGGGGAUAACACUUGGAAACAGGUGCUAAUACCGCAUAAUUCCAUUUACCGCAUGGUAAAUGGAUGAAAGGCGCUUUUGCGUCACUGAUGGAUGGACCCGCGGUGCAUUAGCUAGUUGGUGGGGUAACGGCCUACCAAGGCGGCGAUGCAUAGCCGACCUGAGAGGGUGAUCGGCCACACUGGGACUGAGACACGGCCCAGACUCCUACGGGAGGCAGCAGUAGGGAAUCUUCGGCAAUGGACGCAAGUCUGACCGAGCAACGCCGCGUGAGUGAAGAAGGUUUUCGGAUCGUAAAACUCUGUUGUUAGAGAAGAACGAGGAUGAGAGUGGAAAGUUCAUCCCUUGACGGUAUCUAACCAGAAAGCCACGGCUAACUACGUG